GGAUCGUCCGGAUGCAGCUCCACUACGUCGAUUGGUCGUUUGUUGAUGACCGAAUGAAUCGACUUGUUAUGUUUGGUGGCGGCUAACAAAAUUACUUCCACAGUAUCAGUAAACUCUUUGUCGAUUUUCAAACAACGUGCAUGUUCCGACAGGGUGCUGUGGAAGCGCUCCUCUUUUCCGUUUGAGACGCUAUGGAGGGGUGGUGCGUUUUCAGUGCUUACACAAAAAUGGUUCCCGAGCAUAGUUGAGAUUGUGUGCGAAUUUAAUGAUGGUUCAUUAUCGCAAUAGACUAACUUAGCCCUAGGGAAAAAUUUAUAAGUUGUAAUAUGGCCGGUUUAAGUCUUCAAUUGUCCUUGAGUGGACAUUCUGCACGACGGCGAAUUUUGAAAAUUUGUCAAUGCAGGUGAGGAAGUAUUUUUUAUCCGUAAAACAAAUGUCAAUAUGAAGCAUUUCUCCUACGUGAGAGGGGGUCGGCGUCUCGCCGAGCUCAUGUUUUUUGGGAGCCUGUCGUGUUUGGCUUUUGCGCACGUAUUGAAAUUUUCGACGAUCUCGGCAGCUAAUUUCGCCAUUUUUGGGAAGUAGUACUCGCAGAGUACCUGCUUCACGUUUUCUUGGGCCGACCUGUGAAUCCUGUUGUGCUCAGCGGAGAGGAUUUUUCGUCUCUCCGUGAUUGCAAAAAUGUCCGUUACGCGAUUUUUGCAACUCCAAAAUUUUUGGGCUAGAAAUUGGCGAACCAGUUCGUCCUGUAUCAUUGCGAGUGUGUGUAAAUCGCAAUGGAUGGCGUUUACUCCCUUAGGAACUAUUACAUCUGCGAGCUCAUCAAGUAAUGACUCCUUGCAGGAGAAGCUGAUCGCAUGCCGUCUCUGGUUUCCAAAGAGGACAAAAGACUCGUCAAUGCGCGCCUUCCACCUUUUGAUUUUUGCGUUCGGAUUAUAUUCCGAAACUGCAAAGUUAAUGGUUGGUGGUCGGUAAGGAUAUGUAUAUCCUUGACCGCGUAUAAGUAGUGCCGUAGUUUGGACAAUGCCCAAAUCAUGGCCAACAAUUUUCUUUCAUUGGUGAAAUGUUCAACGUUCUUGAGAUUAUUGUAAUAGGGCGUCCUUCUUGGGACAGCACUGUACAAAUUCCAUAAGCCGAGGCAUCUGUCGUUAGAUCAAAUGACUUCUUAUAAUCAGGGUAUCUCAGCAUCACAUCUUCAGAUGCCAAGAUAUUUCCGUGACCUAUGUCUACAACAGUUCCAUUUUCCCCUUUUAGGAUAUCAGAAAAAGGUCUCGCUAUAGCUGCAAAAUCCUUUAUAAAACAUCUAUAAUAGCUCGUCAGACCGAGGAACAACCUGAUUUCGAAUACAGACUUUGACCUUUUCUGGAUCAGUCGUUGCGCCAUCACUGGUUACAAUAAACCCUAAAAAACUCACACUUUUGUUGAAGAAGCGCGAUUUUUCUACUGACACCCUCAUGUUUGCUUCGUAAAGGGCUUUAGAACCCAAUCUACAUGUGUGACGUGGGAUUGUUCAUUUUCUGAAAAGAUGAUCUCAUCAUCCACAUAUACGUAGCAAGAUUUGUUCUCGCAAAAUGUCGUCGAUUGUCCUGUGAAAUAUGCUGGGCGCAUUUUUCAGACCAAAAGGGAGACUUCGAAAUUCAUAUUUUCCCCCGUUUACCGAAAAAGAAGUUUUCUCACGGUCGCGUUUUGCGAGCAUAAUCUGGUGAAAACCCGACUUAAAAUCUAAUGAAAUAUUUGGUCUUGCCUAAGUUCGCCAAUAUCAUAGAGAUAUUUGGCAUGGGGUACUUGUGGGAUAUUGUUUUUUGUUUAAUUUGAGAAAGUCAAUUACUAGUCGCAUUUUCUUGUUGCCCUCUUCAUCAGUUCCCUUUUUGUUUACUACCCCUAUUGGGUUGUUGUAAGGAGACGCUGAGUUUUGGAUUAUGCCGAUACUCAACAGAUUGUGUAUUUAUUUGCUGACAAGGCGGCAGCCCACAUAGGGUAAGGAUACAAUUUUGCAUAAAUGGGGUAUUCGUUUUCUGUCCUGAUUGUAGCUACCACCGAUGUGUUAUAGGGUAGUGCUUCAUCUGGAUUAGCAAAAGCCUUUUUUCUAUCCCUAAGCAAUUUUAAAAACGCGCCUUUUAUCAAUGGCGGUGCAUCUGAGCAAUCUAUAUUGAUAAAAUUUACAUCAGUGCACGUAUGGCAUGGUAUUUGCUCCGCUUCCGUACCCCGUUUGAUCUGGCUGGAACCUAAACAGAGAGAUGCCCCUGCCUGUGGCACACCGUGAAUGGAAUGGAUUAUGAACGGGGAAUUAACUGGGCGGACACCUUUAAAACCUUGAUGCGGUCGAAUAAAAUUUUAAGAUGCGCCCGUGUCAAUUAAGAACUUCAUGUGUACCCCUGCUACUCUUCGUCCGAUGACAGCAUCAUCGUUGAUCUCUGCUAUUGCGCUGGACGCAGUGUUGGCGUAAGAUUUCCCUACCUGAUCUGAGCCUUGGGUGACGUGGUUUACCCUUUGGGCGCCUGUGCACUCGGACGUUGCCGGUCGCCUAUACUGAUAAGUGGGAGCUUGGGCAGGAGAGCAAACCUUUGCAGAGGGAUCGACUUCCAUCGGCUCCGGUAUACUCUACAAUCUGUUAUUACGUGGGUAGGCACUUGAACUGAGGCUCGAUGAAUUGAACUGUAUCCCUAAUUUCUAUGGCUGUAUAAACCGUUUGAGACGAAAUCUCGGGAC